rnacentral:rRNA from 1 species
GACGUAGGGGGCAAGCGUUGUCCGGAAUCAUUGGGCGUAAAGCGCGUGUAGGCGGCUCGGUAAGUCUGCUGUGAAAGUCCAGGGCUCAACCCUGGGAUGCCGGUGGAUACUGUCGAGCUCGAGUCCGGAAGAGGCGAGUGGAAUUCCUGGUGUAGCGGUGAAAUGCGCAGAUAUCAGGAGGAACACCAAUGGCGAAGGCAGCUCGCUGGGACGUGACUGACGCUGAGACGCGAAAGCGUGGGGAGCAAACAGG